rnacentral:rRNA from 1 species
AUGAAGAAUGGCAGCCACCAACCAAGCCCUCUACACAAGGAAAUUUAUUGGGACAUAAGUGAGGACUUCUUCGACUCCAGAAACCCUAGAAGCACAGAUUACUCAUCUGUAGAUCUCUCAUCUAGAUCGUCCACGCCCACAUUCGAGGAGUUGCCUUCUAACUCGCCGGACAUGCCAUUGUGCACCCCAUUAUCACUUGUCGAUGAUAUAAUCUCACAUAAGCAAGAGCAGGGUUAUUACUGGCCACACGAGGGCCCAAAUCUUGCUAAAACUUGUGCCUCGUGUCCAUCUGGGGUAGAAGAGGUACAAGGAAUCAGUUAG